UACAGAGGGUGCAAGCGUUAAUCGGAAUUACUGGGCGUAAAGCGCUCGUAGGUGGAUCUUUAAGUCGAUUGUGAAAGCCCCGGGCUCAACCUGGGAAUGGCACUCGAAACUGUAGAUCUAGAGUAUGGUAGAGGAAAGUAGAAUUCCCGGUGUAGCGGUGAAAUGCGUAGAUAUCGGGAGGAAUACCAGUGGCGAAGGCGGCUUUCUGGACCAAUACUGACACUGAGGGGCGAAAGCGUGGGGAGCGAACGGG
rnacentral:rRNA from 1 species